GCCCGCUCAGAAACUCAAAUGAAUUGACGGGGGCCCGCACAAGCGGAGGAACAUGUGGUUUAAUUCGAUGAUACGCGAGGAACCUUACCCGGGCUUGAAAUGCAUCUGACCGGCCUUGAAAGAGGUUUCCCUUUCGGGGCAGAUGUGUAGGUGCUGCAUGGUUGUCGUCAGCUCGUGCCGUGAGGUGUCGGCUUAAGUGCCAUAACGAGCGCAACCCUCAUCAUUAGUUACCAUCAGGUAAGGCUGGGGACUCUAAUGAGACUGCCAUCGUAAGAUGUGAGGAAGGUGGGGAUGACGUCAAAUCAGCACGGCCCUUACGUCCGGGGCGACACACGUGUUACAAUGGGUGGUACAAAGAGCAGCUACCUGGCGACAGGAUGCUAAUCUCCAAAACCACUCUCAGUUCGGAUCGGAGUCUGCAACUCGACUCCGUGAAGCUGGAUUCGCUAGUAAUCGCGCAUCAGCCACGGCGCGGUGAAUACGUUCCCGGGCCUU
rnacentral:rRNA from 1 species